CAAAAAAUCAGCAGUGGCAGCUGCACAACAAACUCCAGAAACCAGACUGAAAAUAGCAGCCCCACCCACUAAUUUAGGAUCUCGGACACAGAGUUCACUUAAUGGUUAAAAGAAAAUCGAUCUCUACCAGAGCCCAGAAAGUCCUAUACAGUAAAGAUGAUACCACCUGGAGCACACAUCACAACUGAUCCACACAGGGAACUCUAUCCCGCUCUUUUGUACAGAGCAAUCAGUAGCAGAACAAAAAGAAUCGUCCUCGAGCACUACAGGGUAAAUACAUGGAACUCCCUAACCACUAUUUCUUUUUAUUGCGUUUGUACAUGACGUUAAUUGAGACGAGUAACAUGCAUAUAUAGUGACAUUGUCAUUUAGGAACUUGA